ACCGUGCUCCCUUGCCGCUUUCGAGCUGCCGCUUUUACGCUCCGGGGAUGAUGCCUUCGCUCCCCACUCCCCGCCACCGAGCUAAUCGCUGCGACGUUAAUUGGCCGUUAAUUGGAUUAAAAGGGUUUCGAAACGAAAGGUGUUUAUUCUUUCUUCGAAUCGAGGAAAUCUUUCGCGUGAUAAUUGUAUACAAGAAGUUUGCCAAGUUUCUUCUCAGUUGUAGUAAGUUUGAUCUUUGACGAAGGAAUGAAGAGAAGAGAAGGAUAAUGGGAAUGGAGAAGGAAGUGAUUAAAGAAAGAAUGUUUGAUGGAAUUAAAUAUAUAUGCACGAAUGGGAGGAAGGAGAAAUGUAUCGAAAUGUCUAUCGAUUUUUGUGAUUAAUUUAUGAUGUAAUAUUGUUAGAAAAAUAUUUGUGGUACUUAUUUCCUUUUUAUUUAUUUAUUUAUUUAUUAUCGUUCGUGUUAAAAAGACGAGGUUAAUUCUUAAAAUAGAGGAUGCUAUAUUAAGUUUUGGCAUGUUAUUGUAUAAAAAAAUUCUAUUUCAUUCAUUUUUAUUGAAUAAAUAUAAUUUCAAUUUCAACGUUUGAAUAUUUAUUUUGUAAAAAUCAUAUAUGGAUCGAUUUUUAUGAUUAAUUUAUGAUAUAAUAUUGUUAGAAAAAUAUUUGUAGUACUUAUUUCCUUUUUAUUUAUUUAUUUAUUUAUUAUCGUGUUAAAGGGACGAGGUUAAUCCUUAAAAUAGAGGAUGCUAUAUUAAUUUUUGGCAUGUUAUUGUAUAAAAAAAUUCUAUUUCAUUCAUUUUUAUUGAAUAAAUAUAAUUUCAAUUUC